ACUAAGUUUCAACAACGGAUCUCUUGGCUCUCGCAUCGAUGAAGAACGCAGCGAAAUGCGAUAAGUAAUGUGAAUUGCAGAAUUCAGUGAAUCAUCGAAUCUUUGAACGCACCUUGCGCUCCUUGGUAUUCCUUGGAGCAUGCCUGUUUGAGUAUCAUGA
rnacentral:rRNA from 2 species